CCUACGGGAGGCAGCAGUGGGGGAUAUUGCACAAUGGGGGAAACCCUGAUGCAGCGACGCCGCGUGAGUGAAGAAGUAUUUCGGGAUGUAAAGCUCGAGCAGCAGGGAAGAAAAGGACAGUACCUGACCAAGAAGCCCCGGCGAACGACGGGCCAGCAGCCGCGGUAAUACGUAGGGGGCAAGCGUUAGCCGGAUUUACGGGGUGAAAAGGGAGCGUAGACGGUACUGGAAGUCUGGAGUGAAAGCCCGGGGCCCAACCCCGGGACUGCUUUGGAAACUGUGUAACUGGCGUACAGGAGGGGCAGGCGGACUUCCUGGUGUAGCGGUGAACUGCGUAGAUCUCAGGAGGAACCCCGGCGGCGAAGGCGGCCUGCUGGACUGAAACUGCCGUUGAGGCUCG
rnacentral:rRNA from 1 species